AACGAACGCUGGCGGCAUGCCUAACACAUGCAAGUCGAACGAGACCUUCGGGUCUAGUGUCGCCUGGGUUCGUAACGCGUCGGAACCUGCCCUUAGGUUCGGAAUAACUCCCCGAAAGGGGUGCUAAUACCGGAUAAUGUCUUCGGACCAAGGAUUUAUCGCCCUUGGAUGGGCCGGCGUUGAAUUCGCUAUUUCUUAGGGUAAAAGACUACCACGGCGACGAUCCAUAGCUGGUAUGUGAGAAUGAUCAGCCACACUGAGACUGAGACACGGCCGAGACUCCUACGCGAGGCAGCAGUGGGGAACAUUGGACCAUGGCGGAAGUGCUGAUGCACUUAUGCCGCGAAAGUGAUGAUAGUAUGAAGGUUGUAAAGCUCAAUUACCUGGGAUCGUAAUGACAGUACCGGGAGAAAAAGCUACGGCUAACUCCGUG
rnacentral:rRNA from 1 species